GAUGAACGCUGGCGGCGUGCCUAAUACAUGCAAGUAGAACGCUGAAGCUUGGUGCUUGCACCGAGCGGAUGAGUUGCGAACGGGUGAGUAACGCGUAGGUAACCUGCCUCUUAGCGGGGGAUAACUAUUGGAAACGAUAGCUAAUACCGCAUAAAAGACGAUAUCGCAUGAUAUUGAUUUGAAAGGUGCAAAUGCAUCACUAAGAGAUGGACCUGCGUUGUAUUAGCUAGUUGGUGAGGUAACGGCUCACCAAGGCAACGAUACAUAGCCGACCUGAGAGGGUGAUCGACCACACUGGGACUGAGACACGGCCCAGACUCCUACGGGAGGCAGCAGUAGGGAAUCUUCGGCAAUGGGGGCAACCCUGACCGAGCAACGCCGCGUGAGUGAAGAAGGUUUUCGGAUCGUAAAGCUCUGUUGUAAGAGAAGAACGAGUGUGAGAGUGGAAAGUUCACACUGUGACGGUAACUUACCAGAAAGGGACGGCUA
rnacentral:rRNA from 1 species